GGGCCUGUAAAGGAUUCGACGUUCAUUGAAAGUUAAUUGUAGCAAGUAAGAGAGAUGCCUGGCUCUUUAAAAAGGCAUAAAGUCCUAAUUGGCAACGAUAACAUCGUCCCCUUCGCUUCGCAAGAAGUGGAGUUAAUGGCAGCCUGAGGCUGUCCCGGUCUACGUACAUGAGACGCUUGAUAGUGUACGAGGGCGGUAUCCGGAUCAAGCGGAAACUAGAGAAGUCUGCUAAUGAAAAAACUAGUUAAAGAUAAUUAGAUAUGAUGUCUAUAUCAGAUAAGAAUAGAAUAAACUUGUAGAAGCAUUAACCAGAGGUGUUAACGGACGCCGGUUCGAUUCCGGCCAGGUCCACCA
rnacentral:tmRNA from 1 species